GGCUGGAUCACCUCCUUUCUAAGGAGUACAAAGAACGACAGUUCAAUUAAAGUUCUUAGUUUUAUCACUGUUUUUUGGUUCAAUUUUUUUAAUUUUAAACCAAAAGCUGUAAGGCUAACUAAAAGAGAAUACCAAAAUGAUAGUAUAAAAUAUUUUUUACUAUCGCAAAAAAAUAUUUUGGGGGUGUAGCUCAGUUGGGAGAGCACCUGCCUUGCAAGCAGGGGGUCAGGAGUUCGAAUCUCCUCAUCUCCACCAAGAAACCUGACAAUUAAAGAGAAAUAUAUUUCUGGUCAAGCGACCAAGGGCAUAAGGUGAAUGCCUUGGCACUGAGAGCCGAAGAAGGACGUGACAAGCUGCGAAAAGUCUCGGGGAGGAGCAAAUAUCCUGUGAUC
rnacentral:misc_RNA from 1 species